rnacentral:rRNA from 1 species
UACGAACCGUACAAACGUUAUUCGGAAUCACUGGGCUUAAAGGGUGCGUAGGCGGCCAUGUAAGUGGGGUGUGAAAUCCCUCGGCUCAACCGAGGAACUGCGCUCCAUACUACAUGGCUUGAGGGAGACAGGGGUAAGCGGAACUGAUGGUGGAGCGGUGAAAUGCGUUGAUAUCAUCAGGAACACCGGUGGCGAAAGCGGCUUACUGGGUCUCUUCUGACGCUGAGGCGCGACAGCGUGGGGAGCAAACAGG